UUUUCUGAUCGUUCUUCGUGCUUCUUGAGAAACAACUUGUGAUAUUGAGGGCAAUGAGAUCAGAGACAAGUGGGUGGUAUGAGGAGGUUGAGGAGAUGGUCAAGACGAGCCAGACUGACUCAGAGAUAGUGGAGAAGAAGAAGAGGAAGCUUUCCUCCUUGGUGAAAGAAUCCUUUACCCUUUCCCAGGAUCAUUUUGUAAAACAUCCACAUACAUUAACUAUAUAAGAAAGCAAUCUCAUGCUGAUAAGCUUAUGUUUAUGGUGUGAUAUUCAGUUCAGUUUUCUGCUUGGUUGUUUCUCGGUGCUUGAACAUUUUAUCUCCUCACCAGAUUGAGCUAUUUUAUUAUAAUUUUCUCAUUUCAUUGUUGAUUUACUUACUUUUGGAUAUGAAUUGGCUUUAGUAUACCACACGAGAUUGUUUUAGAUUCAUUUCUUUUAUCUCUGAAACAUUUAUUGUCAAGUGAGUUCAGAUGCAGUAUUAUUUACCACAAAUCAUUGGAUCAAUGUGAUAGGAAGUAGUCAUUCAUUGAGUUUAUGGACAAGUCACAUAAAAUUGUUGCUCUGGAUGGGAAGUUCUAGAUGGAGGUGUGGUGCUUAGGGAGCCUGUAAAAAAUGUUCCGCAGCUCGUUCGAGGCAUUGAGAAAUGAUGCUCAUGUCCUGAACAUGUGUGAUUGUACCAUAUAUGCCUGUCUCACCUUGAUCUAUUUUGUUAUCAAGAUGGACAAUGCCCAUAUAUACUGGAAGGAUUGCAUUUGCUGAGCAACUGAUUCAGUUACCGAAGGGUCUGCCAAGCUCAAAUCAGUAUUUGGUAGGAGCAAUCCUGAUUGUUGUUGCAUUAUGAUGAAGCUUUGCUUUAAAGAAUAGAAAUUGCCUCAGGCC